rnacentral:rRNA from 1 species
UACGUAGGGUGCAAGCGUUAAUCGGAAUUACUGGGCGUAAAGCGUGCGCAGGCGGUUUUGUAAGUCUGUCGUGAAAGCCCCGGGCUCAACCUGGGAAUUGCGAUGGAGACUGCAAGGCUUGAAUCUGGCAGAGGGGGGUAGAAUUCCACGUGUAGCAGUGAAAUGCGUAGAGAUGUGGAGGAACACCGAUGGCGAAGGCAGCCCCCU